rnacentral:lncRNA from 1 species
ACUGAACUGAGUGAAAUGAAAUAUAAAUUGACAUGAAGAAAAUGUUCUCUUUGCAGCUAUGGAAGCAGCUAUACUUGUCCAAAGGUGAUUUUUAUCACUUCAGCAAACAGUAGUUUGGGUCACUAAUCACAUCAUCCCAUUCAGUGGCUGGACUUUCUAUAAAACUUUGGCAUAAAGAAGUAUACAAGAAGAUCCCCAAAGGUCUGCACAGAGUAAAAUACAUACUAAAGUAUUCCGUGGUAUUGGGUCUAAGCAGUUUGUAAAGGUCUUGGAGAACUUUCAGGAACACGUUUGUGGUGAAUGGGGCAUCUUAAGCCGGUAUCCAUUUGAAAUAUCUGGAUGCUUUUAAAGAAGACCUGAAGGACCUCAUUGUUAGAGACAAACCCUCAGUAUAGCUUCCAAGAAAAUGUGCUUCCCUCACCUGGCUGCAAGAAGAGCUAUGCUGAGACUGAUGCAGAGGCCAUACAUGCAGAAGAAUGAAUACAAAUUGGUUUUGGCAGAACUGGUCUUACACAGAUUCCCGCUGUGUCCACACUCUUAGUUCAGGGAGGCUUUCAGCUGCUGCCCUGGAUUAGACCUGGUGCCCUUGUAGUUCUGUU